ensembl:miRNA
CUGCCUCUCUGGGCCUGUGUCUUAGGCUCUGCAAGAUCAACCGAGCAAAGCACACGGCCUGCAGAGAGGCAG